GCCUCCCAAAGUGCUGGGAUUACAGGCUUGAGCCACCGUGCCCGGCCCAUUCCUUCGUUUUUCAGGACUCCCUGGUGAGCAGCAGCUCCCCGCUCCCAAGCCGGGGCUGGGACACAUGGCCCAAGGGUCCCGCACAGCAGGCUGGCUGGUUUCCAGCCACGCGCCACUGCGCAGCCUUCCCCUUCCCUCUCCAAGGGGUUUAACUCUAUUAGACAGUAAUUAAGCUUAAACUUUUCUCCCUGGUGGAGGAACCACUUGCAUGAGAAUAAGAGGUUGCUCCCCAGGUAUAUUUACACCUUUUUUUUUCCCUCUUUUCCGCCCCAUCAGCAGCAAAACCUUUAAAGUUUUUUUUUCCUCCCUUUACUAGGCUAGGCCCCCCAACUAUCACUCUUUAUAUUUUCUGUAAAGCUUUAAUUGUGAAAAAGGAUUUAUGGGCUAGUCUUGGGCUGUGGCCAGUCUGGUGUGCUUUGCGUCUUUUUGUUUGCACCGCAAGCCUCCAGCAUGGUUUACAUCCUGGGGGCAUGGCCAGUAACCACUUGGCAAGGCUUUGUUUAGCAACCGUGCCUUAGGGAGUGAGCCCUCUCUGGUUCCACAUCAGCAUGUUUUCCUAUCCCUGUCUCUUAAAGAGCCCCGCACAGCGACUGGGUUUUCUCCUGUCUCUGUGCGCGUUGUGUGUAAUGUCUGUAAAAAGAGCUCUAAUUGGCCUAAAGAAAGACAAGUGCUUGGAUCAUGUAUUUUUUUUUUUUAAGGGAAGUUAAAAUCUGUGGUAUCUUUCAGUUCACAUGACUUUAAUCUUUGAGAAAUAAAAACAGCCUUAAAGACUAUUGGUAAAAUGCAGGUCAGAUAAAAGGUUUGAUAAGUGUUUUGAGGUUACAAACUGCUUUUUGGGUUUUGAGAACUAUUUGACUUGCUGGCUUCACAAUUGGUAAGGGGCUGGGGACAUAUGGAACUAAUCACACCCUUAACUAAGAAGGCAAACUUGGCUGCAGUUAGCACACAAUUAAAGCAACUUACCAAGUUUUACCUUAAAGUUAAAAAUUGCCAGGUGUUACCGUUAUAACAUGUAAUUGAGACCACUGGAAAUAGAUUUACAAUCAACAUGUGUAAAAACAGCAAAAUGUGUUUUUGUGUGUGCUUUUUUUUUUGUUUGUUUAUUUUUGUUUGUUUUUUUUUUGUUUGUUUGUUUUGGUAAAAGGUUGUAAGAAGGUGUAGAAAUGUAAACUUUGGCCUAGGGUUAAAGGAUUGUUUUGAGUUAGGAAAAGCUGAGGUUCAAAGAAAUGGCGGAAGAAUUGUGGAAAUGAAUCUUGCAGAAGAGGUUCUCUGUGUGAACAUAUUGACUACAUUCAAAAAAGAUAUUACAUUUUUUUUCUGUAAGUUGAGCAUUGAAACAAAAGGACAACGUGCUCUUUGGCAAAAUUUGUAAAGUGUUAUAAAAGGUUUUUGCUUCUUUAAAAUUUCUGAGUAAUCAUUUUGGUACAAUAAAUAACUCAUGGUAAUCUGGAAUUCUAUUUCAUAAUAUUAAGUGUUUUAAACCUCGAACAUUUAACAGCCUUCCCCAAAUAAAACUUUAGUUUCAAAAUUGUCUUCCUUGGCACCUGGCUUUUUGAAUAUUUCAGAGGGCCUCUGAAGUGUCCAGGAAAGAGAGGUACACAGGAUUAUUUGACAUGUUUAGGUACACGGGAAUGCCAAAAUGAUGCUCAGUCUUCUUUAGGUUAUAUCUUGGUGAAUAAUUCUAUGUUCCAAAAUUGUAUGAUAUUUCUAAAUUUCUAAUGUCUGAGUAUAUGCUGUCAAUCAUAAUUAAGUUUGUUAUGUUAAGCUAUUGAAACCAGAGAUAACCAAACGUCUUUGUCAAUUGUGUUUCUGACUGUAACUAAACUGAACAUUUUGCAUUCACAGACAAUUGUCUUGUUUUAAUCCUUUUCAUAGAUAGUCUAUAAUGAGCUAUAGCACUUUAACAGGUGCUCUCAAAUAUAGGCUUCUGAUAACUUUACAGAUUGUAACAUUGGAAUAAAGGAAGAUGUACAGUACUAAUGAAGAGCUGAAAUGUUUAUGAAUAUCAAGCAAAACAAGAGUUAACUAAAUGGACUGAACUCAGGAAGCUGAAGCAAUCUUUUUAACCUUUGCCUGGAAUAUUGCAGAUCCUUGUUUUGUUUUUCAGAGUUAAGGAAAGUUAUUUUGAGCUAUUUAUGGCUUUUAAUAAUUAAGCAAGGUAUACUCCUAUGAUCAAAAUUUGGAGCAUGUUUGUUUCUCUCUGCCUGGUUCCUCUGAGAAUUUGGAAACUAUCUGUGAGCAUUCUUAACUUGAGGCAAUACAGGUGUUUGCAUCAGUGCAGUAAGAAUCCAUUUUGCUUUUGCAACAGGAUAUGAUUGGAGAAAAUGGUUAUUUUACCAAGGCUUUGAUUGGAAGGGUAUGUUUCCUUUUAAGGAGUCAGUAUUAACUUGCAGAGCCAAUAAAAGCCCAUGGGGAAACUGGCUUCCUACCCUUGUCUUUGCAGUCCCCAUACAGGGUUCCUGGCUUGUGGUCAGUAAAGAAUGUCACUUUCUAACAGGUCUAGGAGCUCCCAGUUUAUCUUGGGACCUUAAGAGGAAAGGAUUACCCAACUCACAGGUGUUUGAGGAUACAAACUCAUGGUUGGGCUUGGCUUUAAAAGGUCUUAUCAGAGAUUCUUUGUGGAACAAACUUCCAUCAAAGCCAAUCCAAAAGGCCUAUAUAGAAACAAUUAUUCUCGCUGCACUUUAUGCAAACAAUCAGGCCAAGAAUAAGACUAUAAAGGCUGUUUUGCAAACCAUUCAGUCCUAUGAUGAUUUUUUUUUUUUUUUAGCAAAAAUGAGGGCUGGAGAGAGAGAUCAUGUUUCAAAACUUACACAUUUGUGAUUAAAUUCUAAACUAAUUAGUUGUUUUUAAGUUUUUGCCUACAUUUUAACUCUGCUUGUUCCUGUGAACCAACCAGCAAUCUUCAGCUGCAGCUCAGAAAGAACCAGAGGGAUGGGUAAUGUAGAAAUCUGGAUCACUAUUCUAGUUCCCAGUGAUUAUCUUGCAAAUCCUGCCAGGUGAGGGAAUAAAUAGGGUGCCCAUCACCCAGAAGUUUUCUUUUUGGGAAAGUAAAACCAGGUGAGCUAAUUGAAGUCAAGCAUCAUGACCCAAAUCCUAGCAAGCAUCACUAUAGCCACCAGUUACAUGGGUGUGCCACGAGACAUCCUUUCUCUCCCUUGUUGGAGGAGGACUCUGUUCCACAGUUUCACCUUAGCAUCUGGCUUCUAAUAAGGAGUCCAUGCAACCGCCUGCGACACAUUUUUGUCCCUGACUCAAUUCCAAGCUUCAGGUCAGAGCCCUAGAAAAGAAAACUGGAUCUGAGGGAUCAAGAGGCAGACGAUAACGGAAGUUAAAAGGCAAAGCACAGGCCAUCAAACUCCAAACAGUCAUGCAACUGGAGCCUCUGAGGAUGGCCCCUUCAGCCGGGAACCCUGAGAUCAGCCUCUAGAGAAGCUUUGAUGGCUGUUUCCCCAAAACAGCACCUUCUGCCAUCAGGAAGCAAGAUUGGCUACCUGUCUUCCUGGCUUCCUUUGUAGUGGGGGUAGCCAUGUGGCUGAAUUCUGGCCAAAGCCUUCCAGGACCAUUUCUCCUUCCCACUCCCUGCCAGCUGGAUGCAGAGGACUCCAAGAUACAUGGGAGGAUGGAGAUCUAUUUUGAAUAGAGCUUGGGUCCCUCAAUGAUCAUAGGCUUUUGGCCUGAGUGAGAAAUGAACAUAUAUUAUAUUAA